GUAUAGGAAGAGAAAGGGUGCAGGACUCCAAACUGGAGAGCGAGAUUGCUCAAGCAAUUAAUGAGACUGGACCAUCCUAUGGAAGAAGAAUGAUGACUGGCUACCUGUCCUCCAAAGGUAUCGGAGCAUCUGAGGGGCGCGUUGGUAGUGUCCUCAGACAUAUUAACAGGCCAUAUCAUGCAGAUCGUCAUCAGAGAUCAAGGAACUUAAAUCCAGUGCCAUACAGCGCCGAGUGCAUGGGUCACAAACUGCACUUAGAUCAAUAU